rnacentral:sRNA from 1 species
GCCAGAAGGAUGGGGUGGCUCCCACUCCUGCUGCUUCUGACUCAAUGCUUAGGGGCCCCUGGGCAGCGCUCGCCAUUGAAUGACUUCCAGGUGCUCCGGGGCACAGAGCUACAGCACCUGCUACAUGCGGUGGUGCCCGGGCCUUGGCAGGAGGAUGUGGCAGAUGCUGAAGAGUGUGCUGGUCGCUGUGGGCCCUUAAUGGACUGCCGGGCCUUCCACUACAACGUGAGCAGCCAUGGUUGCCAACUGCUGCCAUGGACUCAACACUCGCCCCACACGAGGCUGCGGCGUUCUGGGCGCUGUGACCUCUUCCAGAAGAAAGGCAAGUGGGGGUGGAGAGGGGCAGGGUGGGAGACAGGGGACCUCAGCCCAAGUUGAUCUUCUGUCUCUUGCUCCCAGACUACGUACGGACCUGCAUCAUGAACAAUGGGGUUCGGUACCGGGGCACCAUGGCCACGACCGUGGGUGGCCUGCCCUGCCAGGCUUGGAGCCACAAGUUCCCGAAUGAUCACAAGUGAGACAAACACCUUCCCUCCGUCCCGGCCUGGGGCCUUCCCCCAGCACACACUAUAGUGAUGCUCUGGGCCCUCAGGUACACGCCCACGCUCCGGAAUGGCCUGGAAGAGAACUUCUGCCGUAACCCUGAUGGCGACCCCGGAGGUCCUUGGUGCUACACAACAGACCCUGCCGUGCGCUUCCAGAGCUGCGGCAUCAAAUCCUGCCGGGAGGCCGCGUGUGUCUGGUGCAAUGGCGAGGAAUACCGCGGCGCGGUAGACCGCACGGAGUCAGGGCGCGAGUGCCAGCGCUGGGAUCUUCAGCACCCGCACCA